UGGUUUUGUCAUAAGGCUCGUGCUAUUUUGUGAAUUCUCGCCGGAUCAUCAGUGAAUAUCACUAUCUUCAGCUUCUGUUUACUGCAGCUUCUGAAUAUUGUAAAUUUUACAGGCUUAAAAGGAUGAUGCCAGAGGCUCUCAGCGUCUGGACUUGGUUAAAAUUUGUGGUGCAGAGAAAAGAGGAAGGAGGUGGAGUGGAAAUGAAGAUCUCCAUCUGAGCAGUGCCCUUCAUCUCCUGUGCCACCAUGAGGAACAGUCUCUUCAGACAACUAGCCUCAACAAGUAUGCCAAGACUAUUUAGGUGGUGAAAUAUUUGGAAUAAGAUUUGAGGUUGGUGCAUUCUUCCACCCUGCCGGAUGAACAGAGUGGUCCAGCAGCCUUGAGGGGAAGCACACGAAAUGUGACGUCUUUCCUGGAUCCUCUUUGUUCUCAGGAUGUCUGGAUGGGUGCCUCAUCCUACAGACUCAGCAAUUGCUUCAGAGGUUUGCUACUGUGAGACUAUGCUGGAAGUGAUCCAGAAGAGCAGUACAGGGCAUACUGGAGAAGCCACAGAUGCCUGUACUUCCCAUUGCAGGCAGAAGAAAAAUUCCUCUUCUGCCCUUGCUACUGAGGUUCCCAGAGCAUGAGUAGUGCAUUCUCUUGCCAGAUGAGUGUGAAUCAGCAAGGUGUCUGUGUUGAGAAGUUCAGAGCUCCUUGUUCCCACACCAAUCUCGAGAAACAGGCCCUCUCAGAUUGUCUUGAGUUGUGCACCUGGAAGCAAAGUCAAGUGAGAAUAGCUGGUCAUUUUUGAAAGUACCAAUUGCACUUAGUGGAGGGGGAAGAUAAUUGUUUAACUCUCUGUAUCUAUCUCUGUUUUGAGUUCAGAGUACAGAAAUGUAUAUUUCUUGCCCUCUUGGUUAGGUGAAGGAUGACAUACUGUAAAAUAAAACCUCUCCAAGUGCCUCA
rnacentral:lncRNA from 1 species